rnacentral:rRNA from 1 species
ACUCCUACGGGAGGCAGCAGUGGGGAAUAUUGCACAAUGGGCGCAAGCCUGAUGCAGCCAUGCCGCGUGUGUGAAGAAGGCCUUCGGGUUGUAAAGCACUUUCAGUUGUGAGGAAGGUGGUGUCGUUAAUAGCGGCAUCAUUUGACGUUAGCAACAGAAGAAGCACCGGCUAACUCCGUGCCAGCAGCCGCGGUAAUACGGAGGGUGCGAGCGUUAAUCGGAAUUACUGGGCGUAAAGCGCAUGCAGGUGGUUUGUUAAGUCAGAUGUGAAAGCCCGGGGCUCAACCUCGGAACUGCAUUUGAAACUGGCAGACUAGAGUACUGUAGAGGGGGUAGAAUUUCAGGUGUAGCGGUGAAAUGCGUAGAGAUCUGAAGGAAUACCGGUGGCGAAGGCGGCCCCCUGGACAGAUACUGACACUCAGAUGCGAAAGCGUGGGGAGCAAACAGGAUUAGAUACC